GUGGGGGAUAUUGCGCAAUGGGGGGAACCCUGACGCAGCAACGCCGCGUGCAGGAAGAAGGUCUUCGGAUUGUAAACUGUUGUCGCAAGGGAAGAAGACAGUGACGGUACCUUGUGAGAAAGUCACGGCUAACUACGUGCCAGCAGCCGCGGUAAUACGUAGGUGACAAGCGUUGUCCGGAUUUACUGGGUGUAAAGGGCGUGUAGGCGGGAUAUCAAGUCAGUCGUGAAAUACCGGGGCUCAACCCCGGAGCUGCGAUUGAAACUGAUAUUCUUGAGUAUCGGAGAGGAAAGCGGAAUUCCCAGUGUAGCGGUGAAAUGCGUAGAUAUUGGGAGGAACACCAGUGGCGAAGGCGGCUUUCUGGACGACAACUGACGCUGAGGCGCGAAAGUGUGGGGAGCAAACAGGA
rnacentral:rRNA from 1 species